AAUGAGAAACAGAAAUAGAAACAAUUAGCACGGUCAGAACAUAAUUGGCGUGCAGUUAGGUCUCUGAUUAAAGAAGCAAUCAUAAAAUUAAGACCCAUAAUCCUCUGCAAUUUGAGCACACGCAUCACAAUUGACGAAGGUGCGGCCAAGGGGUCGAAGGGGGAAUGCCACAGGGGAAAGGAACGCGAGGCUGGCGGCGACUCAAUCGGAAGAAACAAAAGCAGGAGCUGGCCAGAGAGAAGCUAAUACGAGUAAUAACCAACAGCAGCAACAACACAACACAAGCCAGAAGACUAUUAGAGUUACAAUUGUAGCUGCUGAUCGACUAGAAGUUACCCUGGUAUCAAAAUCACUUUACACGCUUUGUCUCUAUCCACUACACACACACAUACAAGCACGCCAUCUCUAGCUCUGUGUGUGUUGUGUGUGUGUGUGUGAGAGUGCAUUUCGGUGCGUGGUCCACCAAGCGAAAUGCGGAACUCAUUAUGUACGUGCGGCGAUUUGUGUGCCCCGCUAACAACAACAACAACAGCAACAACAAUGAGAACUACAACAGGCUGAGAAGAAGCAGCAGAACUCUCAGUUUGUAUCGACUGUGCAAGACCCUGUAAGAAAUUUGCUUUUGGCUAUUGGAUGAAAUUGAUGCUGUUGUAAUUGGGUAUGAAGGCAACUAAUAUGAAAUGUUCAUAAGCAAGCUGGGCAUCGGGAAUGAGGAUUGUGAAAUUUGAGCUUGCGUCUUCGACUUGGAUUUGGUUUUGGAUUUGGAUGUGGAUGUCGAUAAGGAUGUGGAGAAGGCAUUUGACUGAGGAUUGCAGUCAGUUGAAUACGCUUCCGGUUAUACAAAUUGUAUGUGAAACGUGAGAAAUUCAUUUC